rnacentral:rRNA from 1 species
AGCUUGANUCUUACGGGAGGCAGCAGUAGGGAAUCAUCCGCAAUGGACGAAAGUCUGACGGUGCAACGCCGCGUGAACGAUGAAGGUUUUCGGAUCGUAAAGUUCUGUUGUGAGGGAAGAACAGGUUCCGUUCGAACAGGGCGGAGCUUUGACGGUACCUCACGAGAAAGCCCCGGCUAACUACGUGCCAGCAGCCGCGGUAAUA